rnacentral:rRNA from 1 species
GGGCGUACACACACGCUACAAUGGUCGGCACAAUAGGUUGCCAAGUCGUGAGACGGAGCCAAUCCUCCCAAAGACCGGCCUCAGUUCAGAUUGCAGGCUGCAACUCGCCUGCAUGAAGUUGGAGGUUGCUAGUAAACGCAGGUCAGCUAUACUGCGUUGAAUACGUUCCCGGGGAUU